rnacentral:rRNA from 1 species
UGCGUAGGCGGCUUGGUAAGUCAGAUGUGAAAUUCCGGGGCUCAACCGCGGAACUGCAUUUGAUACUGCCAGGCUAGAGUACUGGAGAGGAGACUGGAAUUCACGGUGUAGCAGUGAAAUGCGUAGAUAUCGUGAGGAAGGCCAGUGGCGAAGGCGAGUCUCUGGACAGUAACUGACGCUGAGGCACGAAGGCUAGGGGAGCAAACG